GACGAACGCUGGCGGCGUGCUUAACACAUGCAAGUCGAACGGAAAGGCCUGCUUUCCCUUGUGGAUUGCGGGUACUCGCGUGGCGAACGGGUGAGUAACACGUGAGUGAUCUGCCCCCAACUUGGGUAUAAGCCUGGGAAACUGGGUCUAAUUCCCGAUAGGACUGCAGGGUGGUGCCUGUGGUGGAAAACGAUGUUCUAGUGGUUGGGGAUGAGCUCGCGGCCUAUCAGCUUGUUGGUUGGGUAAUGGCCUACCAAGGCGGGGACGGGUAGCCGGCCUGGGAGGGCGGACGGCCACAUUGGGACGGAGAUACGGCCACGACUCCUACGGGAGGCAGCAGUGGGGAAUAUUGCACAAUGGGCGGAAGCCUGAUGCAGCGACGCCGCGUGGGGGAUGACGGCCUUCGGGUUGUAAACUCCUUUCGACCGCGAGGAAGCCACCUGGUUGGAAGGGUGGUGACGGUAGUGGUAGAAGAAGCACCGGCUAACUACGUG
rnacentral:rRNA from 1 species